rnacentral:rRNA from 1 species
CCCUUAGAUGUUCUGGGCCGCACGCGCGCUACACUGACUACUUCAUCGAGUUGUUUCCUUGAUCGAAAGGUCUGGGUAAUCUUUGAAAGGUAGUCGUGAUGGGGAUAGAUCCUUGCAAUUUUUGAUCUUCAACGAGGAAUUCCUAGUAAACGCAAGUCAUCAGCUUGCAUUGAUUACGUCCCUGCCCUUUGUACACACCGCCCGUCGCACCUACCGAUUGAAUGGUCCGGUGAAUCUUUAGGACUGUGGCUGAGGCCUUGCCUUGUGCGGGUCUGGCCGUGGGAAUUUAGUUAAACCUUACCAUUUAGAGGAAGGUGAAGUCGUAACA